AGGGAGGAUCCAGCAGCAGCGGGAGGAAGAGCAGCUCCAGCAGUUCGGGUUCGAGCCCUGCGAGGGCUGUGGUGUGUGCUCGUGGCGCUGCCGUCAGUGAUUUUCUUUACUUUUCAGUGGAUGUGUGAAUGAUUUUGUGCAGUGUAUGUAAAUUAGGUGACGAACAAAGAAAAUCAGAAAAAAACACACAGAAAAAGUGAAUCACAGAAAUAAGAAGAAAAAACAAAAA
rnacentral:lncRNA from 1 species